rnacentral:pre_miRNA from 1 species
GUUGGGAAGAGGAAGAAAUUGAGUGCCUAAGAGCGGUGGGUAUGGGAACACUAAGGAAAGCCUACAAUAUUAUCUUCUUCUCCACUAGAAUUGGGGAUUAAGAUAAUGUUUUUUUAGCUUUCCUAAUGCCUCCCAUUCCUAUUGUUGUUAGAUGCUCCUUCCUCUUCCUUUUGACU